CCUACGGGGGGCAGCAGUGGGGAAUAUUGGACAAUGGGCGAAAGCCUGAUCCAGCCAUGCCGCGUGUGUGAAGAAGGCCUUCGGGUUGUAAAGCACUUUCAGUGGGGAAGAAAGCCUUGGGGCUAAUACCCUCGAGGAAGGACAUCACCCACAGAAGAAGCACCGGCUAACUCCGUGCCAGCAGCCGCGGUAAUACGGAGGGUGCGAGCGUUAAUCGGAAUUACUGGGCGUAAAGCGCGCGUAGGCGGUCUGAUAAGCCGGUUGUGAAAGCCCCGGGCUCAACCUGGGAACGGCAUCCGGAACUGUCAGGCUAGAGUGCAGGAGAGGAAGGUAGAAUUCCCGGUGUAGCGGUGAAAUGCGUAGAGAUCGGGAGGAAUACCAGGGGCGAAGGCGGCCUUCUGGACUGACACUGACGCUGAGGUGCGAAAGCGUGGGUAGCAAACAGGAUUAGAUACCCCUGUAGUC
rnacentral:rRNA from 1 species